AUGCUCACUUUGGCAGCACAUAUACUAAAAUUGGAAGAAUACAUGGAAAAUACAGGGAAGAUCAGCAUGGUUCCUGCACAAGGAUGAUAUACAAAUUUAUGAAACAUUUCAUUUUUUC
rnacentral:snRNA from 1 species